GCAAGUCGAGGGGCAGCGCGGGUAGCAAUACCUGGCGGCGACCGGCGCACGGGUGCGUAACACGUGUGCAACUUACCUUUAACAGGAGGAUAGCUCUGAGAAAUCGGAAUUAAUACUCCGUAUGAUUAUAAUAUGGCAUCAUAUAAUAAUCAAAGCUCCGGCGGUUAAAGAUAGGCACGCGAAACAUUAGCUAGUUGGAGAGGUAACGGCUCACCAAGGCAACGAUGUUUAGGGGUUCUGAGAGGAUUCAC
rnacentral:rRNA from 1 species